rnacentral:rRNA from 1 species
AUACCCCGUAAGAUCGCGAUGUCGCAUGGCGUCGCGUUGAAAGGUGGGGCCUUUCGGGGCCUGCCGCCGGAGGAGGGACCCGCGGCCUAUCAGCUAGUUGGUGGGGUAACGGCUCACCAAGGCGACGACGGGUAGCCGGCCUGAGAGGGCGAUCGGCCACACCGGGACUGAGACACUGCCCGGACUCCUACGGGAGGCUGCAGUUCGGAAUAGUUCGCAAUGGGCGAAAGCCUGACGACGCGACGCCGCGUGGGGGAAGAAGGCCCUCGGGUUGUAAACCCCUGUCGAGGGUUAGGAAACACAGGGGGGUUAAUACCCCCUCUGUCUGACGAAGGCCCAGAAGGAAGCGCCGGCUAACUCCGUGCCAGCAGCCGCGGUAACACGGGAGGCGCAAACGUUGCUCGGUGUCACUGGGCUUAAAGGGCGCGUAGGCGGUUCGGAGGGUGCUGGGUAAAAGCCCCCGGCUCAACCGGGGAACCGCCCGGCAAACCGUCGGACUUGAGGAUCGGAGGGGAAAGCAGAACUCUGGGUGUAGCGGUGAAAUGCUUAGAUAUCCAGGGGAAUGCCGGUGGCGAAGGCGGCUUUCUGGCCGAUUCCUGACGCUGAAGUGCGAAAGCUAGGGGAGCAAACGGGAUUAGAUACCCCGGUAGUCCUAGCCGUAAACGAUGGGCACUAGGUAGAGGGACUUCCGAUGGCCUCUCUGCCGUAGCUAAAGCGCUAAGUGCCCCGCCUGGGGAGUACGGUCGCAAGACUAAAACUCAAAGGAAUUGACGGGGGCUCACACAAGCGGUGGAGCAUGUUGCUCAAUUCGAUACAACGCGAAGAACCUUAUCCAGGGCUUGACAUGCGCGGAUUAGCCCCCUGAAAGGGGGGUGAC